ACAAAAAGUUAAUGUGCUUGGCUGAUAACCAAAAGGUUGGUGGUGCCAAUCCACC
rfam:Loxodonta africana unplaced genomic scaffold scaffold_75, whole genome shotgun sequence.